AUGUCCAUUUUUUACAGAGGGAGUCUAUGGAAUUGUUUCUGUUUUACUCUAUCGCUCUGGGUAAACCCAUCCACACUCUCACACCAAAACACACACACACACCAAAGUGAAACUAAACCUAAAUCACACACUUCACUAUCUCUGCUUGGAGCCUUUAUCCUGGUUUUGAUUGUUCAAGACAACACUCCUGUUUAUUCACCAUCAUAUCACCAUCCAGCAGCCCUGGAGAGCAUUGUGUUGCCUGGAAACUCCACUUAACAAGGUCAGAGAUGGGAGACUGACACCUCAGCCUUCACCAGUCCUCCACUCAGGCAGCUGCUGUAUAUCUACCUUCUCUUGAGGACACAAGUCAGGUGAGUAAACACUCCUUUGCUUGCUCAAUAAUUCUCAGACAUCACAACCGUGUGUUACAUCGUUAAGCCGUAUUAUUUUAUAUCAUGUUUCAUGCUAUGUAAAGCCGAUUCACUAACAAUGUUGCAUAAUGCAGGAUGUAUUCUAUGUGCACAUUAAGUAAAAUGAGCAGCUCAGAAUCACAUAUUAUAUGUUAAUAACAUGUGAUCUUAUAUUAACUGCAAAUCCUCACAGAUUCAGCAUGCAUUUCAACAACAUUUCAACUAGUGGUAAAACUAGUAAACACCUGUGAACUGCAUAGACUGAGCCACGUGACCACCGACAAUAUAUGUAAUGUGCGUCACAUUAAAAAUUUCAGUUAGCAGUGACACAUAUUCAGAAGUUACCCUGAAACCAUUACAGGAAAAAGCUCAGUAAUCAGAGUAGCUGGUGUUAUCAUGUGUCAGGGUACUCUAUUGUCACUACACAGACACAAAGAGAGCAGUUAGGGAGGAGCUAACAUUAUAUAUAAUGUAAUGCUUGUUUUGCAUGAGUUGCACUUUUAGUGCAAUUUCCUGUUCUAAAUAUUAAACAGUAAUUUAACACCAGGUCACCAGCGUGUCGCACCUUUUAAACUCCCUCAGCACAGACCUUUGCUUUGAUUCAUUUCAGCACACAAAGCAGAUUAUUUUACAGUAAACAAUGAGUUAAUAUCUCCUCCAGCUGCUGCACAUCAGGAUGUCGGCUAUGCACUGGGAAGCCAGGCGACGUCAGAGUGCUCUGGACCGCAGGGUGGCCCGAGACAAACAGCAGGUAACUCAUGUGUGCGCCUAAUUUUAGAUGUGAUGUUGUCCUUCAGUGCUUUAUGGUGGGUAUAUAAGUCCCAUAUGGUCUAGCGGUUAGGAUUCCUGGUUUUCACCCAGGCGGCCCGGGUUCAACUCCCGGUAUGGGAACUUUAGUUUAGUACCUGUAAAUGUUGUCUUUAAGACGUCAUGAUAACAAUCAACAUUCAGGCCAGAAAUUUGUUCAGUUCGUUGUAGCACAGCAAGUGACAAUUUUCUUUUAAAACUGGAGCUACACUGACUGCUCCCUGUUGCUCUCUGUUCAGUCUGCUGUGUUAUUGAACAGCAGAAUGGAAAGCUGACUGGAAACUGAGCAGGGUCAUGAGACACCCCAGCAUGGGGUCAGGCUGUGGGUCAGACUUGUUUCCUGUGUGAAUCUGACAGCUUGUAUCCUGUUGCUGAUGCAUUCAGAGCCAGCAGCACCGAUACGUAAUUUAACCUGUUAUAAUUAUGAUUUUUUUAAAAGUAGCAUUAACUUUAAAUAGGCAGAGAUUCGUUACAAACAUAAGACACACCGUGUGUCACUUGCAGGCACUGUUCCAGUGCAACAAGAUGCUGCCGUUACUCGGCCGCUGGGACACUGACAGCUUAAGCUGAGAUAUGUUCACUGGAGCGUUUCUUUGAUGGCAGCUAAGCUCUUAUAGUCUAACACAGCUGAUGUUCAAUGGAGGCCCAUCCAUAGAAAAGCUACGGGAAAUCCAUCACAGUGUCACUCUUUCUCUCUUUGCAGCUGCUGCACCGAGAUUCUGACACGGCCAACAAAACAACACAAUCAAACGCGACGCAAGAGCAAGCAGGUGUGGUGAUGCUAAUGUCAGCAGAGAUGGUUAUUUUACAACUGCAAUCAAAUAUUUGAAAGAUUACAGUUAAAGACACAUCUCUCAACUCGUAUGGGCAUCAAAGUCAAACAAUUUUGACAGGACCAAAGUAUCAUAUCAUUCCCUGACCCAUAGUGUGCGAAUAAGACACAAAACGUCGCACAAAACAAAUAAAAAAAGAGAGAAUUUUAUAAAUAAAUAAAUA
ensembl:lncRNA